rnacentral:rRNA from 1 species
GUCGCUCCUACCGAUUGAGUGAUCCGGUGAAUAACUCGGACUGAUGCAGUGCUCAGCUUCUGGACGUUGCAUUGGAAAGUUUAGUGAACCUUAUCACUUAGAGGAAGGAG